rnacentral:lncRNA from 1 species
GCCGGGCAGAGACACAACCAAAAAAGAGAAUUUUAGGAGUCAGUGUGGGGAUUCCUCAGGGAUCUAGAACUAGAAAUACCAUUUGACACAGCCAUCCUGUUACUGGGUAUAAAUCCAAAGGAUUAUAAAUCAUGCUGCUAUAAAGACACAUGCACACAUACGUUUAUUGCGGCAGUAUUCACAGUAGCAAAGACUUGGAGCCAACCCAAAUGUCCAUCAAUGAUAAACUAGAUUACGAAAAUGUGGCACAUGUACACCAUGGAAUACUAUGUGGCCAUAAAAAAAGGUUGAGUUCAUGUCCUUUGUAGGGACAUGGAUGAAGCUGGAAACCAUCAUUCUCAGCAAACUAUCACAGGAACAAAAAACCCAAGCACCGCAUGUUCUCACUCAUAGGUGGGAAUUGAACAAUGAGAACACUUGGAGACAGGAAGGGGAACAUCACACACCGAGCCUGUCAUGGGGUGCUGGGAGUGGGGAGGGAUAGCAUUAGGAGACAUACCUAAUGUAAAUGAUGAGUUAACGGGUCCAGCACACCAACAUGGCACAUUUAUACAUAUGUAACAAACCUGUACUUGUGCACAUGUACCCUAGAACUUAAAGUAUAAUAAAAAAAAUAAAAACAUAAAAGUAAUGAGACUCUGGCAAGAGUAAAGAGUUGUAGCCAUUCUGGAGGAAUACCACAGACUUUGUUAAUUUAAAUAUAUUUAUAUCCUCUUUUCAUGAUGAAGAAAAUACUGGAAUUACAUUAACCCUCCUCAAGAAUUGGAGAUGAAGGCAAUAAAUAACCGUGUGAAAGCAUGAAGGAUCAACAGAAGAUGUAAUACUCAAGAAGCUAAGAUUCUAGAAAUAGCAAAUUCUGAGUGGAGUUUAAUAUUCUACAUACAACUCCCCCAUCAGCUGCUUGCUGACUGUGUCUUGUACCUGUCUGUGGUCAGAUCACACACAACAAAAGGGAAAGAAAGGAAGAUAACUUUUAAAGAACUAAAAGGCUAAAUAGAUUUUUUUUUUUAGUGAAACAAUACAAGAAUGAUAACAAUACCCUAGGUUUUAUUUGUAACUUUGGAAAAAACAUAAACUAGUAAUAAUGGCAAACUAGAAUAAAGCUGUGCCCAGACAUCAUCUGCUGCACAGAGAAAAAGUAAACCUUUCCUGAAAUAACACCACAACACCAGUUUGGAAGGGUAGAAAGAAAAUAAUGGCCCAAUAAAACACCAUACCCAGUGAAAAUAAGCUUCAGCAAUGAAGGCAAAAUAAAGAUUGAUCAAAAAAUAAAAAAAUGCAGAUCUUUACAAAAAUAAAUACCUUAUCUGAGAGAAUUCUUCUGACAGAAGAAUCAAGAUUCCAGAGGCAACUAGGGUAGUGCUCAAAAACAUGGUAAAUAUGUAAAAGGUUAGCUGUAUAAGUUAAUCUAAAAUAUUGACUGUUUAAAACAAUAAUGUUUACAUCUUCUGGGGUUUGAAAUAUAUGCUAAAUUUAUAAAACUAAUAGUAGAAAAAUAUAGCAAUAAAGAGAGACAAAUGUCUGAAGUCAGAUACUACUUAGUAUAUGGUAAAUAUAUUAAUUUAAAGUAAUCUCUAAUGAAUUGACAAUGUAUGUUUUAGUAUCUAGGGUAACUAUGAAGAGAAAGAGGAAAAGAAGCAGCAUUAUACCUAAGUUGCAAAUUAAUGGGGGUGAAGGCAGAAUACAAUGAAAUCUGAAGUUUUUGUGCAUUGUUUGUAUGUACGACUAUGAAAAAACACAAGAAAACUUCUGUAACUUACCACAUUCGCUGUAGAUAGGACAGAAGAGGAUGAAACCACAUAAUUUGAUGUUCCUUCCUCAGGAAACUAACCAUCAGGCAAGGAACUGAAACUCUGGAUCACCACGUGCAGACAGAUGCCAGAAUCCCUCAUCCAUCAUGAUCACUUCCUUACCCCUCCCUAAUUCCUGUUCUCCUCUCUACUUUCUCAACUAUAUACACCUCCCAAUUUUAGUCAGAGAUGGAUUUGAUAAUUUAUCUCCUGUUUUCCUAAGCUGCAGCACCUGAUUAAAAGCUUUUGCUUUGGCAAUACUCAUUGUCUCAGUGAUUGGCAUUCUGUGAGCUGAUCAGCAGGACCUAGACAGAACCUCUAGUGUUUUGGUAACAUCUUUACUUUCACCCAUUGUGUUAGCUAUAGUUAUUCUGUUACUUAAUUCCCAAUAACCUUAACUAACAAGAAUAUCCAAACAGUCUUUUCCUUCAUUACCGUAUAGAGUUUUUAGUUAUCAUUAAGAUUUGG